rnacentral:lncRNA from 1 species
AGAGAGAAGAAGUGGUAUCUCGUUUGGAAGAACACUUUAUAAUUUUUGGUAUCAAGUGUGUGAUGAAAACUGCAAGGAAGAAUAUACUAAGGCACUAUGAUGUAAGACCAUUUAUUAAUUGUAAUUAUUGAGAAAGGGGGAUGCAACCAGAUCUUGGAAAGUUUAUUUUAGUCAUCCACUUAUUUAGGAAAGUGAAAAUAUUGUACAUCAUUAAAAUGAGAAAAGCUAUUCAAAAAUCAAUUAUUUUAUUUGUAUAGUUAGACACGCGGCGCAUGAAAUCAGAUAUUAACAUAUCAGUUAUCACCUAUGUCUGUAUCAUACACAUUUCUUUACGAUUUAUAAUAACAAAAACUUGUCCAAAAAGUUGUCUUUUAAGACGAUGAUAUGCGAUUCGUUAAUACGCAUCUUUAAAUUUGGAUCUUCGAUUUCUUCAAAAUUAAUGUGUAUAAAUUUUGUUAUUAAAUUUCUUAAAAGAAAAAAAUUAAUUUUAUAAAAGAUAAAAUAUUAACUGAUAUACAAUUAUUUUACAUUGAUAUUCACGUACAACAAAUCAUUGUACAAUUAUUGUUUUAAAUAAUUAUAAAAAUAAUUUAACAUAUUAUAAAUUAAUAAUUAUUAUAUAUUGAUUGUUGAUAUAAAAUUAAUUUUUAUCCAAAAUCUAUUUUAUAAUAAUCACAAUAUAAAUGAUAACGUGAUUAUAAAUUUAAAAGAUGAUCAUAAAUAAAGUAACUCAUACUAAGAUGCUAGUAACAUGGAUUUCAUAUUAGUGAACUCUAUCAAAGACUAGUUAAAAAAUGAUAAGAUAAUUUUACAAAAACCAAAAUAAAGGCUUGAUUUAACUAUAAUUUUAUUAUCUUAAUUUUAUGAAUUUAUGAAAUUGAUCAUUUUAUCUUAUAAGUCAAUAAUUUCAGUUCAUUUUUUAAUUUUUAACUAAAAAAUAAAGACAUGACAUACUUUAAUUAAUGAAUCUAAAUAAUAUUAUAUUAUAAAAUUAUAUAUUAUAUUAUUUAAAAUAUUUUAAAUUAUCAAUUUUUUAAUUUAAAAAUUUAAAAGAGAUUAAAACUAUUAACUUUUAAAAUAAAGAGAUCAGUUUCAUGAAUUGAUAAAAAAAAAUUAUAAUUCUAUAAAUUAAUAAAAUUAAAUAGAUUAAAAUCGUAAUUAAACUUAAAAUUUAUUAAAAAUUUAAUUCUCUCGUUAAACAGCGUUUAAUUGUCAUGUGAACAUCGAAUAAGAGACUAAUGACUUUUCUUUCGUACAUACGUGGAGUUCGAGAGAGUACUUUUUCUUACUGUAGUUUGAAAAUACAUGCUGCUGCUGGUUCUAAUUACUACUAUUAUUUUCUAAAUAUUUUAUAAAUAUAUCUUUCGUAAAAUAAUGUGAAAUAUUAACUGUAUUUACUAAUAUUUUAAAAAAUAUAUACAAAGAUAAAAAAAUUCAUUUACAUAAUAAAUAUAUUUUUAAAAAUUACAAUUUUUUAUAAAUAAAACAAAAUAAUUUUUUUAAAAUUUCUUAUAUUUAUUGCAAUUUUUUAAAAUCACUAGAGAAUGAUCUACACAAGAGAAUGAUCUAUAUUUAUUACAAUUUUAUGUUCAAAGGAAACGUCAAUGUUGAUAAUCUUAAAGUAAAUUUAUUGAAAAUACAUGCAAUAUCUAUUGACUUUGGAGUAGAUAAUGAAUCACGGUAGAGUUGGUCUUUGACAAUUUGGGUGUUUUUGGCCAUUGGAUAAUUCAAUAAAGUGGUGUUCUUGUAAAUAUUGAAUAUCAUUUUAUUUUCAUUUAUUGUAAAAUUAUUAAUAAUUAUUUUAUAAUCAAAGUUUUCUUUAAAAAAAUAUUUAAUUUAUAUUAAUUUAUAAUUGUAACAAAGGCAAUACUAUUUUAGUAUAAUUUAUUUUUAGCUUAUUGCAAUUUUAAUUUCUUUAUUUUUAUCGAUUCAAAAAAUUGGUCCAUCUAUUUUAAAAGUUAUCAAUUUUAAUUCAUUUAUUUGUUUUUUAUUUUUUAACUAAAAAAGCCAACGUGACAUGUUUUAAAUAGUAAAAUAUAUAAUACAGUAAUGUAGAAUAAUUAAUACUGAUGAAUUCAGAAUAAAACACCGUAAAUAUUUAACUAUUACUUUAAGAAAUUUUUCAUAUUUAUAAUUUAAUAAAUGAAAUAUGAAUAAUUAAUACAUCUAGAUAUUUCUAUAUUAAGAAAUUGUAUGUCACGUCAUAUAAAAUAUGUCAAGUCGUCAUUUUUUUUUCAAAAAUUUGAAUGAGAGGCAAAAACCGUAGACUUUUCAAAUAAUAGAAUUAAUUUUGUGAAUUGAUAGAAAUAUAUUAAAAAAUAAUUGCAAUUAAACCUUUAUAUUUUUUAAUUAUAAAUAUGUCUGUUUCGACAACUUUAUAAUUUUUUAUUAAAAAUUUUAUCUUUUAAAAACUAUUCUUAAAUAAACUUCUAAUAACUACAUUGAGUAAUCUUCCUGCUAUUUUAUUUUUUCCAUUUUAAUUUUUUUAUUAGUUUUUUUUGUUAAAUUACAUCUGCGGUCCCUUAACUUAAUUUCAGGUAACGUUUUAGUCCUUUAUAUUUUUUUUCCCGAGUUGGUCCUUUAUUUUAAUUUUAAGUGACAAUUUGAUAUUUUAUGUUUAAAUAUCAACAAUGUUGUCCUUUUUUUUUCUUCAAAAAUUCAAAAAAAUCAUCAAAAUUUUCAAACAAAACCCAUAAAAUUCAUUAUCAUCUUCAAUAAAAUACAAAUUCAAUCAAAUUCAUAACUUAAAUCUUAAAAUAAACUCAUAUUUUAAUUCCUUAUUUGAUGUUGUUGGAGAUAAAAAUAUGAGUGUAUUUGAAUAUUUGAAUUAUGAAUUUGAUAAAAUUUGCAUUAUAUUGAAGAUGAUUAUUAAUUUUAUGGGUUUUGGUUGAAAAUUUUGAAGAUUUUUUUUGAAUUUUUGUAUAAAAAAGGAUAACAUUGUUGAAAUUUUAAAAUAUAAAAUAUCAAAUUGUCAUUUAAAAUUAAAAUAAAGGACCAACUCGAAAAAAAAAAUUAAAACGUUACCUGAAAUUAAGUUAAAGGACCACAAAUGUAAUUUAGGCUGAUUUUUCAUUGCAAUUAAGCAAUUUCAAUGACGGAUUUAUGUUUUAAAAAAAUUCAACAAAUGAUAUAUGGAAAUUCAAUAAUCAUUUAGCUCAAUAAAAAAAAUACACACGAACACAUGAGUGCCAGCCUAUUUUUUUAAUUAUAAAUAUCUCUGUUUCGGAUUAGGUCCAGUUUGGAUCAAUUACCUUUAAAGUUUUUUUUUUUAUUAAAAAUCUUAUCUUUUAAAAAAUAUUCUUAAAAAAACUUCUGAAAACUUCAUCUUUCUACAAUUUAUUUUCCUUUUCAUUGUUUACUUUUUUCUAUUAAUUUUUUCAUUGCAAUUAAGAAUUUCAAAGACAGGUUUAUUUUAAAAAAUCCAAUAAAUGGUAUAUAAAGAAAUUCAAUAAUUGUAAAUACAUUUUAGCGCAAUAAAAAAUGAUAACAAAUGAACACACAAGUGCCUAAGAUUUUAACAAUUUCAAUUUAUGUUUUAUCAAUAUAGAUAUCCAAGAACAAGAAUGAUAUAAAAUUUUAAUAAUUUCCAUUUAUGUUUUAUCUAGCAAGAUAUCUAAGAAAGGGACUAUUAUCCUAAUUAAAAUACAUACUUAAUUUUACAUUUGGUCUGUUAUAUUUAUUUUAGGUUUCACUUUAAUCCCUAUUAGAAUUUCGGUUGAACUCUUAAUGUGGGACUCUUAAGUCUUAACAAUCUAUAUAUUUUAAAAGAUUUAUAAAGGAAGUUUGAUAAAUCAUAUAAUUUACACUUUUUUGAAGUUAAAUUAUAAAAAUUAUAAGUAUGGCUGAUAGGUAGAAGUACAAGUACAAUCUUCCUGAUGCGUGGUCAAGAAAAUCGGCUAAUACGACCUUUGAGCUCUUAUAAAAGGCAAGUUAUUAGAUAGACAUACCAUACUGUUCACAACAUUAUAAUUAUAUACUUUUUUUCAUGUAGAAUUUUCCUUUUCAAAAGAAAAAAUGAAUAUCUCACGUGUCAUAGAAGGUGUGACUUGUCAAAAAUGGUGUAGAGAGCGUGUAUAGGGUCAAAAAGAAUGUAUAAAGAUAUAUAAAUGGAUAUAAAAUUUUGUCACCGAUACGAGAUACAAUACUGGCUUAAUACGGCCUUUAAGUUCUAAUAAAAGGCAAUAUUAUUAGUACUACUUUUUCUUUUUACAUAAAGAGUUCAAGACGUGUCAUUCAUGAUAAAGGUACGUGAUUUAAUGGGUAACUACCACUUUUGUUGUAAGAUUAUCGUUGAUUUAGCUAUAAUUUUUAUAUUAGUCAUUAAAUGAUUAGAAUGAUCUUUGAAAAUAUAACUUACUGUUAUAAAAUCUUUAAAAUAUAAAAUUUAUUGUUAAAAUAGUAUGUAUUUAUUAUCAUGUUAUAAAUUAAAUUGAUUAAUAUUUUAAUAAUUAGAUGACAAAUUUAAAUUUUUGACUCAAUUAAAGACUAAAAUAAUAACGCUUUACAUUUUUAGAAACUAAAAUAAUGAUUUAAUAUUUCAAAACUAGUGGUUCAAAGAGUUGUUGUUAUUAAGAAUAACAUGAUCAAAGUAAUCAUAUAAGAAAAAUAAAUUUUGGAACUUGAUGGAAAAAAAGUAAUAUAAGGUUUCAUAUAUAUGGAAUAAAAAUAAAGAAAUUGAUACAUUGAGUUCUCCAUAUAAAGAGAAAUUAACUACCAAACUAAAAUCUAACAAACUAAUUGAAAAACUCUAACUAACAUUAUAUUUCUUCUAACAUCCUCCACAAAACUCAGAGUAAGAUGUCAUUAAUUUGAGUUUGGAUUAUAUUAUUCAUCCAGACACCCAUGACAAACUAAAGUCUGGUCCGUUUGUCGACUUGUCAUUCCUCACUUCGUCCACAACAAGUUUCGUAACACAAUUAUAAGGUAUUUGAGAACAAUAGACAAAUAAACAGGAGAACCGUAUCCGACACGCUGCACAUAACAAUAGACUUUUCUUGACCUGGAGAUUAAUUAGUUUUAGGUUUUAGUUUUAAGGUUUUGAGGUAAGAUGUGAUAUUCAAUUCACUUGUUUGACUGCUCUUAGUCGAAUGUGGUGAUCCCACAAACUCCUUUAUGAUCCCACAAAUUUCACUGUUGUAUAUUUUCCGGAAAAAUUGAAAUAAAUUUUCCAAUACUUCCGAAAAACUUUAAAAAAGAUUUAUAUGAGGCAUUUAUAUCUUUUCCUUUAGUUUGUAUUGGUACAGGAACAAUUUGGAAGGAAAAUUUUCCCUUGUACCCACUCAUUUAUCCCUAUACUCCCAAAAGUAAAGGAAAAAUACUAAAAUACCCUCAUAUAUAUAUAAAUAUUUUUUUUUAAUUUCUUCAUUUAACAUUUCCGGAACAGAAACAACAAGCAAAAAAAAAAAAUUCCGGAAAACUUCUUUCAAGUUUUCCGGUACACAACUUUUCCGGAAAACUUGAAAAAAGUUUUCCGGUACAGAACAUCAUUUUCGAAAAACUUCAACGUAACAUUUCCGGAAACCACCGAAAAACUUCAUGCACAUGUUUUCCGGUAGUUGUUUGAUUUUUUUUUUAAAUAUUUUUUAAAAUAAUUUUUUUGUUUUAUUUUUUUUAUUAUAUUAGUAUUUAUUUGAUUUUAACUAAGAUCUUGUUAAGGAAGUAGUAUUAAUUAUUAAUUAUGGUGUAUUAAUUAUGAAUUAUUAUGGUAUAUUAAUAGUGUAUUAAUUAUUGAAUGGUGUAUUAAUUAUUAAUUAUUUAUGGUAUAUUUAUGUGUGUUAAUUAAUAUUUAUGAUGCGUUAAUUAUUGACUAAUGUAUUAUCAUUUAUAAAAGUAAUAAAAUUAAAAAAAAAAUUAAAAAAAUGUUGUGUACCGGAAAUCUUUUUGAGAAAGUUUUCUGGAAACACCUUCUGUACCGGAAAUCUUUGGAAUGAAGUUUUCCGGUAGUACAAUUUUUCACUUCUGUAUCGGAAAUCUUUUUUAAAGUUUUCCGGUAACAACUUUCUGUACCGGAAAACUUGAAAAAAGUUUUCUGAAAAUAAGGUGUGUACCGGAAAUCUUUUUUGUAGUUCCGGAAAAGAAUAAAUUAUAAAAAAAAAAAAAAAAAAAUUAAUAAGGGCAUAAUUGUCAUUUUCAAAAAAUUAUGGGGGUAUAGGUAUAAAAAUGGGGGUACAGGGGAAAUUUUUCAUUUGGAAGAUAUAGAGUAAAAUUUUCUUAUUAUAAGCAUUUCAUACAAUACACGGCCCAAUGCAUUUUUGGCGAUGUUCAAACCAUACGGUAUACCAUCCAACAAAAACUAUCCGAACUAAUUAUAAGCAUUUUAUAUAGUACACGGCCCAAUACAUUUUUGGUGAUGUUAAAAACCAUAUAGUACACAACCCACCAAUAUCCAAAGAUUAGGAAGUCUUAAUCAAUAUCCCACCGUUAAAAUUUAGGAUUGAAUAUGUUUUUAGAUUUUAUAGAAUUUUAAAUUUUCAAUUUUAGUAAUUGUAUUUGUAAGUUAAGUUAUAACUCAACUGACAAAUGUCAAAAUUAUUUGGUUAAAUAUUUUGUUUAUGGUUCGAACUUAAGUCGCAUUUGUGUAUGAGUUUUUGGUGCUAUUUACAAUUAUGUCUACUAACCCAAAAAAAUUACAACUUUUAAUCGUAGAAAAUAUCAUGCAUAUAGUUUUAAUCUUUACUGUUAAAUCAACGUAUAUUUUUAAAAGAUUUUUUGCAGAUAUUUUAACAACAUUAUAAAAAGUUUGUAAACAAAAAUUAAGCUCAAAAUUUAAUUUCUAGUCCAUAUUUUUAUUACUUUUAUCUUAAGUUUUUUAUAUUUAAAAAAUUUAUAUUUAAUUUAUCGAAAGUUAAAAAUAAAUCUUAAUUUUUGUAAAUGAACUUUUUAUAAUAUUAUAAAAAUAAUUACGAAAAAUCAUUCGAAAAUUUUGUGAAUGCAUAGAUUUCCUAGUUGUUCUAGUCUAAGUUUUAUCUUUGAUUUCGAUGAUUGUUUCUUAAGUUAGAUUUAGAAUCUAUACAUGUCUUUGUUGAUUUCACUUAUCCACCUUAUGCUUGAGCAAAAAGUAACUCGAGGAAAUUGACAUUUGAAUCAUGCAUAGUUAAAUGCUUCAUUAACACUCUUUUAAAUUUAUUACUUCUCAUUUCAAAUGAUUUUACACAUGUUUUUUGAAUCUGUUUGAAUAGAUUCAAGGAAUGUUUGAAUAUAUUCAAACCGUAAGUCUUAACAGAUUUAGUGUUUCCUUGAUUUGAAUCAAGCAUUAGUUAGGGAAACUCCUUGAAUCGAUUCAAUGUUUCAUUGAUUUGGAUCAAGUUUGUCCAUGAUUUCUUGAAUCCAUUCAAAGAUUAUUUGAUCUAUAUCACAUUAAAAAAAAAGUUUUGUUUUUUGUUCUUUUUUUUUCAAUGUUAGUUUCUUACACCCAUAAAUAAUCAUCUUGGAACUUUUAAUAAUUUAACAUUCUGAAAUUCAUCUCAAUAUUUUCAACCUCUCAAGUUAAAAAAAUUUAUUGAAAGGGGUUUUUUAGAGGGAUUUGAAUCUUCAUCAUUGAAAGAGAGCUUUCUUGUUGAAGAUUGCAAAAUGUUGAUUUUGGAGUUGUCAAAAUCAAGUGCUAGAAGUGGGAUUCAUAGAAGAAACUCUCAUAAAAGAAUCUUGUAUUAUUGCACAACUAUGUUAAUGGAAGAAACUCUCAUCAAAAUUUGGUUUUAUAUCUUAACUCUAUCCUUCUUUAAUUUUCUGCAUUGAAAUGACAAUUUGUGUACAGAUAAAUUCUGAUUUUUGUGUUCUUGAGAAAUUAUGAAGUGUUUAAAACAAAAUUUUAUUUUCUUAAUCAAUUCAUAUUGAAGAUAUUAAUACAAUUGUUUCAAGUUUUUUUUUUUUGUUAAUGUGCUAUGCUGAAUUUUUCUGUAAUCAUUCAUUUGUAGAGUUGAUUGAUUCUAUAUUUAUACAAUUACUAAGUUAACUGAAUUUCCUUUCAAUUAAAUUUUCAAUUUAUUUAUUCACAACCUUUAUCUAAAUUGGUGUUUAGCAAUUCGAAGAAAUAUUUUUUUGUAAAGUAUCAAGCAUGUGUAAUCGAUUCAAUAUUUUUAAAAAUUAUGUUUUUUUUUCUUUUUUUUUGAAAUCCUAUUCUCGCCUCUAGAAUUUUGGUGCCUUUACAACUAACAAUUUUAAAUUUGAAAAAUAAUUAAAUAUGUUUCUUUUCACAACUAACAAUUUUUAAAUUUAAAAAAUAAUUAAAUAUGUUUCUUUUCGACAGAUAAUAAAAUAGUUUAUUGAUAAUUUUAAAAGAACUGAAAGUUGUAUUUUUUUUUACAGUGACUAUAAUUGAAAAGUUAGAAUUUUAUAGAGACUAAAACGAUGCAUCAUAACUCUACAAUUUAUUGGGUUAGCAACUUAUUUCCAAUAAAUUUUAAAUGUUAAUUAGAUAAUUAACCUAACUUAGUCACGAUUCAAAGAUGAAUGAUUCAUUUUCGUAUAAAUCUAUCAGUCGUCGAACUUUUUGAGCUGAUCUAUUUUGCCUGCCAUUUUAGGCGGUUUGAGUUAAAGAUUUUAAUUCAUCUAUCUAAAUUGGUCAAUUUCGUUUAUAUAGUUACACGUUUAACUGUAUAAAUAAACUAAGAACCUAAUAAAAAAUGGUAGGUCAUUCAUUACUAAGUAAUUAAAAACACUUUAGUAUUUUAAGUUGAUGUACAUAAUAUUAAUUAAAGUAUAGGGUAAAAUAAUAAUAAUAAUAAUAAUAAUAAUAAUAAUAAUAAUAAUAAUAAUAAUAAUAAUAAAUAUUACAUUUAAAUUAAAAAAUAUAAUUCAUUUUAGAAUGUUUUUGUUAUAAAAAAUACGACAAUUAUUGUGGCGGAAAGAGUAACUUAUUCCAUAUAUAUAUAUAAAGCAACUAAUGAUAGGAAAUUAAAUCAGAUUUCACAGGUCCAGCUAUUAAAUGACAUUUGAAUUUAAGAUAUCAAUUAAUUCUAAUAACAAACUAAAACGUUCAUAUAGGCUUGUAAUAGUAGUAUUAAUUUGACUAUUAGGUAUAAAAUGUGGUUGGUGACUAUAAGCUAGGGUCAUGCAAUGGCAUAUGCUCAACAACUCAUUAGCAUCAACCUCCUUAUAAAAAUGAGAACCCACAUAAUUAAUUUUGUGUAGAAAAGAGAGAGAGAGAGAAUAAGAUAAUAUCAAAUUAAUGGGUAAGUGGUUGUGCAUCUUGGUGGUUUUGGCUAUGGUCGUGGUUGCAACAAGUGCAAGGAAUGUGCCCAUUGGAGGCACUAAUUUGAAGGAACAAAAAUGCAUUGGCAGGUUUGGUACUGGUGUAGGUGCUGAUCUUGGUAUGCCCCUAAUUGGUGGCCUUGGUGGUUUCGGUGGAACUGCUUUUACCGGCCGUCGUAUUCCUCAACCUUGAAUUAUGGCUUUAACUUAUUUUCAUUCUCGUCUUGAAUAUAAAAAAAUAUUUAAUCAAUAAAAAUUAAUAUAUUUAGUAUAAAAUUUAUACUAAAUAUAUUUAUUUUUAUUGAUUUACUUUUUCUUAUAUUUGAGAUUGAAUAAAUUAUAUAUAAUAUCAUAUAUGGCAUCUUAUUAUUAUUAUAAGAGAAUAAAAUGAUUAGUAUGAUGUCAUGAUUAAUGUUUUAGUGUUUUAUGAUUUUUUGCCAAGAAAAAAGAUCAGUACGUACUAGCUUGUUUUUGUAAUGUAUGGAUGUGUUGUUCCUUUUUAUGUAAGGGAAGAUAUAUUAUGCAUGAUUUCACCUUCUUAUGAUAUGAAAAAAUAACUUUAUUUUUUCCUAGAUUCACCAUGAACCCAUCAAUGAUUGUCACCCUUCUCUAUGGAACACAGUUCAAGGUCAAAACCUUCACAACCACCUAGGACAAGGACACAUCACACAUUAACUAUAAAACUGGAAAUAUAUCCAAUUCCAUGAGGACUUU